rnacentral:misc_RNA from 1 species
AAAAAUAAAUAAAUAAAAAAGAACAACCACCAAACACUAAUUACGUUUAUCAAAUUUACUGGUUCCACCCGGAAAUCUUCAAGCAUAUAAUAUAAAUAGCAGAAAUCACCCAUCAAAUCAAUUGCAUGUGCGAUAUGCAUUAUUACCGACCUCAAAAAUGAAGAAUAUAUUUCACCCAAAUACCAUCUCCCAUUCGUUACAAUGAAAUAACAUUACCUACAGACUAGAAACUCACCUGUUGUAAUUGUUCGGAACCGUU